rnacentral:rRNA from 1 species
GGGAUGGCCCCGCGGUGCAUUAGCUAGUUGGUAGGGUAACGGCCUACCAAGGCAAUGAUGCAUAGCCGAGUUGAGAGACUGAUCGGCCACAUUGGGACUGAGACACGGCCCAAACUCCUACGGGAGGCAGCAGUAGGGAAUCUUCCACAAUGGACGAAAGUCUGAUGGAGCAACGCCGCGUGAGUGAAGAAGGUUUUCGGAUCGUAAAGCUCUGUUGUUGGUGAAGAAGGAUAGAGGUAGUAACUGGCCUUUAUUUGACGGUAAUCAACCAGAAAGUCACGGCUAACUACGUGCCAGCAGCCGCGGUAAUACGUAGGUGGCAAGCGUUGUCCGGAUUUAUUGGGCGUAAAGCGAGCGCAGGCGGAAGAAUAAGUCUGAUGUGAAAGCCCUCGGCUUAACCGAGGAACUGCAUCGGAAACUGUUUUUCUUGAGUGCAGAAGAGGAGAGUGGAACUCCAUGUGUAGCGGUGGAAUGCGUAGAUAUAUGGAAGAACACCAGUGGCGAAGGCGGCUCUCUGGUCUGCAACUGACGCUGAGGCUCGAAAGCAUGGGUAGCGAACAGGAUUAGAUACCCUGGUAGUCCAUGCCGUAAACGAUGAGUGCUAAGUGUUGGGAGGUUUCCGCCUCUCAGUGCUGCAGCUAACGCAUUAAGCACUCCGCCUGGGGAGUACGACCGCAAGGUUGAAACUCAAAGGAAUUGACGGGGGCCCGCACAAGCGGUGGAGCAUGUGGUUUAAUUCGAAGCAACGCGAAGAACCUUACCAGGUCUUGACAUCUAGUGCAAUCCGUAGAGAUACGGAGUUCCCUUCGGGGACACUAAGACAGGUGGUGCAUGGCUGUCGUCAGCUCGUGUCGUGAGAUGUUGGGUUAAGUCCCGCAACGAGCGCAACCCUUGUCAUUAGUUGCCAGCAUUAAGUUGGGCACUCUAAUGAGACUGCCGGUGACAAACCGGAGGAAGGUGGGGAUGACGUCAAGUCAUCAUGCCCCUUAUGACCUGGGCUACACACGUGCUACAAUGGACAGUACAACGAGGAGCAAGCCUGCGAAGGCAAGCGAAUCUCUUAAAGCUGUUCUCAGUUCGGACUGCAGUCUGCAACUCGACUGCACGAAGCU